rnacentral:rRNA from 1 species
CGGCGGACGGGUGAGUAACGCGUGGGUAACCUACCCUGUACACACGGAUAACAUACCGAAAGGUAUGCUAAUACGGGAUAAUAUAUUUGAGAGGCAUCUCUUAAAUAUCAAAGGUGAGCCAGUACAGGAUGGACCCGCGUCUGAUUAGCUAGUUGGUAAGGUAGCGGCUUACCAAGGCGACGAUCAGUAGCCGACCUGAGAGGGUGAUCGGCCACAUUGGAACUGAGACACGGUCCAA